rnacentral:rRNA from 1 species
GACGAACGCUGGCGGCGUGCCUAAUACAUGCAAGUCGAGCGAAGUUUUUCUGGUGCUUGCACUAGAAAAACUUAGCGGCGAACGGGUGAGUAACACGUAAAGAACCUGCCUCAUAGACUGGGACAACUAUUGGAAACGAUAGCUAAUACCGGAUAACAGUAUUUCUCGCAUGAGAGAUAUUUAAAAGUUGGUUAUGCUAACACUAUGAGAUGGCUUUGCGGUGCAUUAGCUAGUUGGUGGGGUAAAGGCCCACCAAGGCGACGAUGCAUAGCCGAACUGAGAGGGUGAUCGGCCACACUGGGACUGAGACACGGCCCAGACUCCUACGGGAGGCAGCAGUAGGGAAUCUUCCGCAAUGGGCGAAAGCCUGACGUAGCAACGCCGCGUGAGUGAAGAAGGAUUUCGGUUCGUAAAGCUCUGUUGUUAGGGAAGAAUGGAUAUGUAGUAACUAUACAUGUAAGAGACGGUACCUAACCAGAAAGCCACGGCUAACUACGUG